AAAAAACUUCCCACAGUAUUCCAAAGUAGAUGUGCCAUUUUAUCCUCCAAACAGCAAUGUAUUAGAGUUCCAGUGGUUUCCAAAGCCCCUGUCAACAUUUGGAUUGUCCGUCUUUUUUGAUUUUAGCCAUCCUAAUGGCAAAAGCCAUCUCCCAUGUAACCACAUGCUUCAGGAGAAGCUGACCCUACACCUAGCUCCACUGAAAACCAUAAGAAAGGAAUGUCAUGCCUAUAAUUGCUGCAGCUAUUUUAAUUCCAAGUAUGAGGUUGAAACAAUCAUGGAUGGCCAAGUGAAGAGAUGGAAAAAGCAGGAUUCAGGAUAACUUUAUUUUUUUGGAAGAUGACCAAAAUGCUAUCUCUAUUUGGAGAUAAUAAUUAGUCUCAUCUUCAUUGGCUUCUUCUCGAAUGCGGAGGGAAUUAUCGGAUGAGUACAUUGGAACAUGGUCGCCAUGUGGCCUGCUGCCCCCGUGUACCACUUGGAGACCAGCCUAGCAUGGAAAUGACCAGAUGUUGGAAGCUGAGCUACUGCUCAAGGUAUUAAUGCUUGAAAGAUAUUCCAUGUUUGAAGGGAUUUUUGUGGUGCUGGCCUACAAGUUGACCUUUUUGACGUGAAUAAGAAACAUUCUUCAAAACUGUGGUUGACAUCCAAGCUUGCUGUCAUGUUUUGAACUGCCCUAUGGAGAAAGCAACAUGGCUAAGAAUAUGAGAGAGCCAACAGGACAAUGAGGACCUCAAUACAGCAAGAAACCAAAUCCUGCCAACAACCAUGCACUCACAUCUCUACCCCACCAGCAGCGUCUUAGAGGCAGUGAGAACUCUAUUUUAGAAGAUGAGUACUCCAUCAUGUAACUACCUAUGACC
rnacentral:lncRNA from 10 species